UACGGGGGGAGCAAGCGUUGUUCGGAUUUACUGGGCGUAAAGGGCGCGUAGGCGGUCGUGACAAGUCACUUGUGAAAUCUCCGGGCUUAACUCGGAACGGUCAACCGAUACUGCGGGGCUAGAGUGCAGAAGGGGCAACUGGAAUUCUCGGUGUAGCGGUGAAAUGCGUAGAUAUCGAGAGGAACACCUGCGGCGAAGGCGGGUUGCUGGGCUGACACUGACGCUGAAGCGCGAAAGCUAGGGGAGCGAACGGG
rnacentral:rRNA from 1 species